rnacentral:rRNA from 1 species
UACGAAGGGGGCUAGCGUUGCUCGGAAUCAUUGGGCGUAAAGGGUGCGUAGGCGGGUCUUUUAAGUCAGGGGUGAAAUCCUGGAGCUCAACUCCAGAACUGCCUUUGAUACUGAGGAUCUUGAGUUCGGGAGAGGCGAGUGGAACUGCGAGUGUAGAGGUGAAAUUCGUAGAUAUUCGCAAGAACACCAGUGGCGAAGGCGGCUCACUGGCCCGAUACUGACGCUGAGGCACGAAAGCGUGGGGAGCAAACAGG